ACGAACGCUGGCGGCGUGCUUAACACAUGCAAGUCGAGCGAGAGCCAGUCGAGGGGUAACCCUCGGCUGGGGACAGCGGCGAACGGGUGCGUAACACGUGGGCAACCUGCCCCUGACACUGGGAUAACCCCGGGAAACCGGAGCUAAUACCGGAUACUCUCGGCCGAUCACAUGGCUGGCCGAGGAAAGGUCCGCCGGUCAGGGAUGGGCCCGCGGCCUAUCAGCUUGUUGGUGGGGUAAUGGCCCACCAAGGCGACGACGGGUAGCUGGUCUGAGAGGACGACCAGCCACACUGGAACUGAGAUACGGUCCAGACUCCUACGGGAGGCAGCAGUGGGGAAUAUUGCACAAUGGGCGAAAGCCUGAUGCAGCGACGCCGCGUGA
rnacentral:rRNA from 1 species